rnacentral:rRNA from 1 species
CAGUAGCCGCGGUAAUACGAAGGGUGCAAGCGUUACUCGGAAUUACUGGGCGUAAAGCGUGCGUAGGUGGUGGUUUAAGUCCGUUGUGAAAGCCCUGGGCUCAACCUGGGAAUUGCAGUGGAUACUGGGUCACUAGAGUGUGGUAGAGGAUAGUGGAAUUUCCGGUGUAGCAGUGAAAUGCGUAGAGAUCGGAAGGAACAUCUGUGGCGAAGGCGACUAUCUGGGCCAACACUGACACUGAGGCACGAAAGCGUGGGGAGCAGACAGGAUUAGAUACCCCCGUAGUCCCUGUCUCUUAUAC